CAUGGUUUUUUGAAAAUAAUUUAAAAUUUGAUCUGCUCAAUGAAUAAUUAAAUUGCCGCAGUAUAUUAACUGUGCAAAGGUAGCAUAAUAAUUAGUUUCUUGAUUAGAAGCUGGAAUGAAUGAUUGGACGAUAAAAUAGCUGUCUCUGAAUAAUUUUUUAAUGAAUUUUAUUUUUAAGUUAAAAAGCUUAAAUUAUUUUAAAAGACAAGAAGACCCUAUAGAGUUUAAUAAAAUUUAUUAUUUAUAAUUUUAGUAUUUUUUUAUAUUAAUUUUAUUUAGUUGGGGUGAUUUGAAAAUUUAAAUAAUUUUUUAAAGUUUUAAUUUUUAAUUAAAAAAUUCUUAAUCUAUUUUUUUAAAAAUAAAAUAAAUUACCUUAGGGAUAACAGCGUAAUUUUUCUUUAAAGUUCAUAUUAAAAGAAAAGUUUGCGACCUCGAUGUUGGAUUAAAAUUAAUUUUUGGUGCAGUAGCUGAAGAAUUAAGUCUGUUCGACUUUUAAAAUUUUACAUGAUCUGAGUUUAAACCGGUGUAAGCCAGGUUGGAUUCUAUCUUUAGUUUUAUUAUGUAUUUUAGUACGAAAGGACCAUAUAUAUAUUAUAUUAAUUG
rnacentral:rRNA from 1 species